UUGAUCCUGGCUCAGAAUCAACGCUGGCGGCGUGCCUAACACAUGCAAGUCGAACGCGAAAGGGGAGCAAUCCCUGAGUAGAGUGGCAAACGGGUGAGUUACACGUGGGUGACCUGCCUCAGAGUGGGGGAUAACGUCCCGAAAGGGACUCUAAUACCGCAUAACAUCCUGCCUUUGGAAAGGCGGAGAUCAAAGCCGGUGAUCGCAAGACCUGGCGCUUGGAGAGGGGCCCGCGUCUGAUUAGCUAGUUGGUAGGGUAAUGGCCUACCAAGGCUACGAUCAGUAUCCGGCCCGAGAGGUCGGACGGACACACUGGGACUGAGACACGGCCCAGACUCCUACGGGAGGCUGCAGUGGGGAAUUGUUCGCAAUGGGCGCAAGCCUGACGACGCAACGCCGUGUGGAGGAUGAAGAUCUUCGGGUCGUAAACUCCUGUCGAGCGGGAAGAAUACCUUUCGGGCGAAUAUCCUGGAAGGCUGACGGUACCGCUAAAGGAAGCUCCGGCUAACUCCGUGCCAGCAGCCGCGGUAAUAAGGU
rnacentral:rRNA from 1 species